GUUUUAAUAAUUUAACAAAAAUAUUGAUCUUGUAAAUCAAAAUUGGAAUACCUUAAAACU
rnacentral:tRNA from 1 species